AGUGAACGCUGGCGGUAUGCCUAACACAUGCAAGUCGAACGGCAGCACAGUAAGAGCUUGCUCUUACGGGUGGCGAGUGGCGGACGGGUGAGGAAGACAUCGGAAUCUACUUUUUCGGGGGGGAUAACGUAGGGAAACUUACGCUAAUACCGCAUACGACCUACGGGUGAAAGCAGGGGAUCUUCGGACCUUGCGCGAUUGAAUGAGCCGAUGUCGGAUUAGCUAGGUGGCGGGGUAAAGGCCCACCAAGGCGACGAUCCGUAGCUGGUCUGAGAGGCUGAUCGGCGACCUUGGAACUGAGACGCGCUCCAUGCUCCUGCGGGAGGGAGCAGUGGGGAAUAUUGGACAAUGGGCGCAAGCCUGUUCCAGCCAUCCCGCGUGGGUGGAGGAGGCCUUCGGUUUGUAAAGCCCUUUUGUUGGGAAAGAAAAGCAGCCGGUUAAUACCCCGCUGUUCUGACGGUACCCAAAGAAUAAGCACCGGCUAACUUCGCG
rnacentral:rRNA from 1 species